CGGGAGGGAUUCCAUGGCGCCACCAUCAUCCUCGUCCUCCGCGAGGACGCCAAUCCGAGAUCUGGUUAUCUAUGCCAACAAGGUGUUUGACAAAAGUCCAAGAAGGUUAUUCACUGUUUUGGUUUCUUGAUUGGAAGUAUGAAGAGGUUCUUGGAUUAAAGAAGAUUGUCUGCUCAUUUUUGGUCCAUACAUGCGGCUCGACUGCAUAAUGGUUUGAAACGUGCCUACUGGAUUAUGACGACCCUGCUUCAAAUUCUGGUCAUCGGACAUAUGGAGCUGGUCCUUCCUUGCCGAGGUUUUGGUCUGAUCAAAAAGGACAUGAAUUGAACCAUAAGCGAGCAGGCUGAGCAUUUUACAUGACCUCCAAGCUAUACCAGAUCACAAUGGUUUGGAUCCUUGAGUUUCUACCAUUGACUUCAAUCUAUAUCUUUAUUCCCUAGGUUGGACUCGAUGUAGACUAUCAUGGUCACCAAUUAUUGGAUAUGAUUGUUAUGUGGGAUUGUUGGCAGAGAUGAACAAGAAAUAAGGUGAUGUCACCAGAACUAUAUUAGUAAAAACUAGGCCUUUUCUUACAUAUGUUUUAUGUGUGUAAAUGCCCCCUCAGUUCUUGCUUGUUCUGCCUAAGUUUGUCUUGAUAUUGGUAAACAAACUAUUCAUGUGAUGUUGGUUUGUUCAGCUGUACAUUUGCGGUGAGCAGUUAGUUCAGGUCACUAUGCUUAAAAUAUUAGUUCAUGCUAUUGCCCUUAAAAAGAUUAGCGGCCGGGGGCGACGAUGUUGAGGUGGUGCUCUCGUCCUCCUCCGCUCCUCUACCUAACUCAGGAUCUGGCAGAGCAGUAGCUAGCGGUGGUGAAGUCCAGUGGAGGAUCUCCUCCUCCACCACUCCCUUUUUCACUGGGCAGGGGAGCGGAAGAGGGCAGAGCCACAAGCCGCCAAAGACGGAUUCCAUGGUGCCACCAUCUUCUUCGUCCUCGCAUCAGAGACAGAGCGUACUGAGGAUAACAGGAGGAAAGUGGGUCAUUACUGCACGAGAUGGCAUGGCGGCGUGCCGGCCGGCCGGCCGCAGAUCCCGCACGAGUGAUUUUUCUCACGGUUGAUCUUGGAAAUGUGGUGUACUCCAUGUCCGCCCACAUCGUCGUCAGUCCUUGCAUCAAGGAGGAGAGCGUGUGCUUGAUUUGAUCCAUGAUUUAUAUUGGAUGAAAAGUUCGUGGAAGUCACAGGAUGGAUCAGCUAGCUGCAAGAAGGUGCAUGUUUCUCCUGUAUUUUGCUUUUGUUUCUAUCUAAUGGUGUUGUGAAUCUGGCAUGGCCAUAACAUACUAUGUUCAAUAACAGUCAGCCGAUGUCCAGUUACCACUCAUAGACAUAUGAUAUUAUUAAUUAUUUACCUUGCUUGUGGAAAUUUACACCACUGAUGGCAAAUGGAACCACUUCGGUAGAUGUUGGCGGAAUAGACAACCAUUUUUGUGCAUUGUUUUGGUAGUAAGCUUGCAUAGAAUAGUGUAGGUUCGAUGUGGUUGUGAAAUAUUUUUUCCAAUUUUGAAUUUUGUUCCUUCCCGUUAUCAUAUGGGAUUACUGCCGGAUGCUCUUUUCAGAUGGUCUUCUUGUGUUUUAUUAGAUGGGGCAGCGAUUUUCUUCAGAUGAUAUUAUAGGUUAGUGAAUUGUGGUAUUCAAAUUCCGGUCUCUCCUUGAGAUAUUGGGCUAAUGGAUUAUUUUGUAGCAUUAUUAAUUGUUUGAGCUGACUAUGGAAGCUGAGAUAACAGUUUCAUAAAGUUAUAAAAAUUAUCUCUAUUAUGUAAGCUAUAUCGAGGUAUUUUUAUUAUGUAAGCUUUCUCAUCAUUGGUUCUCUGCAUAAUGUAUACAUGGGACUAUGGAAGCGUGAUGAA